rnacentral:rRNA from 1 species
CCUACGGGUGGCAGCAGUGGGGAAUAUUGCACAAUGGGCGCAAGCCUGAUGCAGCCAUGCCGCGUGUGUGAAGAAGGCCUUCGGGUUGUAAAACACUUUCAGCGGGGAGGAAGGCGGUGAGGUUAAUAACCUCAUCGAUUGACGUUACCCGCAGAAGAAGCACCGGCUAACUCCGUGCCAGCAGCCGCGGUAAUACGGAGGGUGCAAGCGUUAAUCGGAAUUACUGGGCGUAAAGCGCACGCAGGCGGUCUGUCAAGUCGGAUGUGAAAUCCCCGGGCUCAACCUGGGAACUGCAUUCGAAACUGGCAGGCUAGAGUCUUGUAGAGGGGGGUAGAAUUCCAGGUGUAGCGGUGAAAUGCGUAGAGAUCUGGAGGAAUACCGGUGGCGAAGGCGGCCCCCUGGACAAAGACUGACGCUCAGGUGCGAAAGCGUGGGGAGCAAACAGGAUUAGAUACCCCGGUAGUC